rnacentral:snoRNA from 1 species
GCAUGGGUUUGGAUUUAUGGCAGGCCCGGGCCCCUGGGCCUCUCAUAGUGUCCUUUGUCAGAGAAAACUGUGGCUCUGAACCAUUGCCUGGCUUCUGCCUGUAAACUGCUGGCACUGAAGUGAGUUGCACAGUG